UCCGUAGGGUCCGAGCGUUGUCCGGCAUUAUUGGGCGUAAAGGGCUCGUAGGCGGUUCGUCACGUCGGGAGUGAAAACUCGGAGCUUAACUCCGAGCCUGCUUCCGAUACGGGCAGACUAGAGGUAGGCAGGGGAGAGCGGAACUCCUGGUGUAGCGGUGGAAUGCGCAGAUAUCAGGAAGAACACCGGUGGCGAAGGCGGCUCUCUGGGCCUUACCUGACGCUGAGGAGCGAAAGCGUGGGUAGCGAACAGG
rnacentral:rRNA from 1 species